GCAGUUUAUAUAGAAAUGUUUUAUGCAAAUGAAAAAAAUUGAACAGACACCAAUAUUAUUAGAUAUUAGUACAUGUACUUCAGUGCACGUGUAUUUAAUGAACACAGAUAACAUAAUCCUGCAAUCAAAUGUCAGACUGAUACGAGCCAGUGUUCAACAUGUUUGUUUUUCAUUGCGAUACUAGUAUUCAAUUUUGUACGCUGUAAAAUUGUAUAAAAAGAAAAUGAGAGUCUUAAAAAUUUGUAUAAACCAAUUUUGCUAUGUGAUUUUUACUAUUGCUCAUGAUUACAAUUAAGAUGUUCAGCAACAACUGUCUUUUACUUAAUACAUGGUCUUUGUUGCCAUGAUGGGUGUCAGUUGAAUCCUUAUGAUUUAUGUAUUUGCAAAAGUGAGAAACCUCAAAUGAUUGUGAUAUUCUUCAUAUUGUUACAUUUAUUAAAUCUUCAUA
rnacentral:misc_RNA from 1 species